ensembl:miRNA
UCUGGAGCUGAUCCUGAAGCCCUUACUCACAUGAGCAGUCCCACAUAAGUCCUCAAGGUGAGUAAGGGCUGCGAGAUUGGACCCUAAAUACC